UACAGAGGUCUCAAGCGUUUGUUCGGAUUCAUUGGGGCGUAAAGGGUGUGUAGGUGGCGCGCUAAGUCGGGGUGUGAAAUUUCGGAGCUUAACUCCGAAACUGCAUUCGAUACUGGCGUGCUUGAGGACUGGAGAGGAGACUGGAAUUUACGGUGUAGCGGUGAAAUGCGUAGAUAUCGUAAGGAAGACCAGUGGCGAAGGCGGGUUGCUGGGCUGACACUGACGUGGAGGCGCGAAAGCUAGGGGAGCAAACGGG
rnacentral:rRNA from 1 species